ACUGUGCUGAGAGGGAUCCUGCAGAUCUUGCGCCUGAUUGGCUGUGGAGAAGGUCACUCGGCGAUGUGGGAGCUGUUUACUGCUAUAUUUU